UCCCGUGUGCCUAACCCAUCUCCCGUGUGCCUCCUCGCAGACGACGACAGCGCCCACGCCUCCUCCCCCUCGUCACCGGCGGCGAUGCCAGCCGCCUCUAGAAGCCCCCAGGCAGACCACUGUUUGUUGGUUCCUCAAUUCUUCACCUAGCACUUCGGUUGGCAGUUUCAGUUGUCAAGGUACUUAGUACUUACCACUUACUUCCUGAGCUUAUAAACCCCGCGCCUCGGCCUCGGCCCUCGGUCACUCGGUGGCUCGCCGGCUUGCCGCCUCCCUCAAUCCUCAAUGGACUCCGGCAGCGGCAGCAACAGAAAGGGAAAAAGAAAAGCAAUAGGAUAUGGAAGAGCUUAUUUUGGUCCCGUUGUUGAUUUGAUGUGUAAUCUACAUGUUUUUCUUCAUUUAAGGUACUUCUAAACGAUGGUCUUGUUGUGAACUUUUAUUUCCGUACAAUAUAUGAAUGUAGUCUAGAAAUGCACCGCCA